UGCGUAGGCGGCCUCGUGUGUCAGGGGUGAAAUCUGGCGGCUCAACCGUCAAAUUGCCCCUGAAACUGCGGGGCUUGAGUCCGUGAGAGGAAGGUGGAAUUCCUGGUGUAACGGUGAAAUGUGCAGAUAUCAGGAAGAACACCGAUGGCGAAGGCAGCCUUCUGGCACCGUACUGACGCUGAGGCACGAAAGCUAGGGUAUCGAACG
rnacentral:rRNA from 1 species